rnacentral:lncRNA from 7 species
ACUUUUCGUCCUUCCAAACACAACCCUUGAAUAGGAGGCAAAGCUUUCGAUGCGGGUAUACUCACAGUCAGCACUCAAAGGAGCAACACAGACUGCUCUGUGAGGACUGCUUUCCUGGAACAGCAGCAGCAGUACACUGUCAGACCAAAGCUUUUCUCCUGUGAUGCAACAUUUCUAAGAAGUUCCUUUCGCCUCUCGGAUGGGAGCAGCCAGUCAUUCACUCCAACUCUUAAUUGCUGCUCUGCAAAAUCCCCAAAAGGAAUGUAACAACUUGUUUCUCACUGUGAAAAUGGGAGGUUCUCCACUGCAAGCUUUAAGCCUUCGGCUGAAUACCUGCUGAACAUCUGGCUUGGGAUCAAGGUUUGCUUUUAUUGUUGUCCAUGCCCUGCUACAACGGGUGGACACAUUGCUAGAUUAAUACUACCAACAGAAGCGGGGUGGAUAGACUCCCUUCCUUCCUCCUCUUACCCCCAGUAAAUGCAGCAGCUGCAGCCUGACAGAACACGCCAGUCUUUCAGAAAGACUCAGAUACCACAAGAAAAAGCCUCAAGCACAGCAUGGCCCCAUGGAAAGCAGAGAAAGGCUGCUGCGAGCAGCAUGGGACACGUGCCCCAGGAUGCACAGCUCAUGAGUGAGCAUACAUGUGCACGUGGGAAGCAUCUCUAAUCCCCUGAAUACUAAACGUGAACCCCUUUUAUCUGGUAUAUGCUUUGAUUUUCUUCCUAAGAAAUAGCAAGCAUGUAUGUUUGGCAUAAGAAAGCUUUCAUCAUGCGAGAUCCCCAAAGCACGCAAAAUGACGGUCCAGGCAUGCUAACUGCACCACAGGGCAAAUUUCUCUUUUCCAAACCUCAGCAAAAUUCAUACAUUCCUUCUAAAUCCAGUUGCAAACCGCUAUCCUGAAGGCACUAAUACUGAAUGCAGGUAUUGAUAGUGCCAAGCAGUAAAUCUGCACCCAUAAGGAGCACGUAGUUCAACCAGAGCCCACAGCAAGGGGAAGGUAACCAACCGACCAAAGGAAAAAGGAUGCACCUAGAGCAAACAAUUGCAAACCUUGUAGGGAGACACAGAUUAGCAGUCUAAUUAGAACCACCAGAUAACCACAUGUAAAAUAGGGUUUUUAGUGCAUUUUCAAAGCACUGUGACCGGAAGACACGUUACAUCCAUCUAAAAGGAUGAAUUCUGCUCUAGGCACUCCAGUGUUAAUGUACUGCAACUCCAGUGACUUCAAAGGGGUUGCUGCAGAUAUAAAGCAGUGUAGCCAGAAGCACUGGCUGGUAGCCUGCAUAAACAAGCAAAAAAGAUUUUCAUUUUUUAAGAAGCCAUAAAAAAUAGUUCAAGCUAAUUACGUGACAGGGGCCUGGGUGUGAAAUAGCAACUGCAAAGCCCCGGGGAUCAAGACAGGAACCUUUGAUUUGCUCUCUUCAGCUUAUAAAGUCUUCUGAAUACUUUUGCUCUAACAGCUUUUCUUCUUCCCAUUGCAAGCUGCACACAUUACUCUGAUGCUGCUCUCCAGAGGCCCCCACCAUUGCUCUGUACUAAAUCUCAAUCCUUUGUCUUACAAUCUGAGGCUGAUUUCAGGUUGCAGAGCUAAACCAGCAGCUGUCUCCAAGCAGAAAGCCCAUUUCGUGUUCACCUUAUGGAGCAGCAGCGUUAGAGCAGCUGAAAUCACAACCACCUCAUGAGCAAAGUUUCAAACCUCUCUGAAACUCCCUGAAGUUGAAAUAUUAAUCUGGAAAGCACUGAAUGUGUGUUUCUGAAGCUCAGUUUGGAAUGAGAAACAAAAGGUCUGGAGCCUGUGGGCUGACACCGUGUCUACUCGGUAUUAAAAUGCAGAGCAGAAUCUAAGCUGUCUCUGCAGAAAAACAACUGAGAAACAAAUAUCUGUGUUAUGUAUGAUAACUGAGCCCUCCUAGGAAGGCACUGCUAGCAGCUCUGCUCCCUCACCCGCCUGACGUGCCGACACACCCAGGCUAGACAGUAAAUUUAUUCAACCACAUUCAUUUCUCCUGGUCCUUAAGUCACAAGUGGUGAAAUCUCAUUCAUUUAUGCAAGCAACUGGAAGAUUUAUUGUAAAUAAAAGUUCUGCACAU